UACGUAGGGUCCGAGCGUUGUCCGGAAUUAUUGGGCGUAAAGGGCUCGUAGGCGGUUCGUCACGUCGGGAGUGAAAACUCGGGGCUUAACCCCGAGCCUGCUUCCGAUACGGGCAGACUAGAGGUAGGCAGGGGAGAGCGGAACUCCUGGUGUAGCGGUGGAAUGCGCAGAUAUCAGGAAGAACACCGGUGGCGAAGGCGGCUCUCUGGGCCUGACCUGACGCUGAGGAGCGAAAGCGUGGGUAGCAAACAGG
rnacentral:rRNA from 1 species